rnacentral:rRNA from 1 species
GACGAACGCUGGCGGCGUGCUUAACACAUGCAAGUCGAACGGUAAGGCCCUUCGGGGUACACGAGUGGCGAACGGGUGAGUAACACGUGGGUGAUCUGCCCUGCACUUCGGGAUAAGCCUGGGAAACUGGGUCUAAUACCGGAUAGGACCACUGCCUGCAUGGGUGGUGGUGGAAAGCUUUUGCGGUGUGGGAUGGGCCCGCGGCCUAUCAGCUUGUUGGUGGGGUGAUGGCCUACCAAGGCGACGACGGGUAGCCGGCCUGAGAGGGUGACCGGCCACACUGGGACUGUGAUACGGCCCAGACUCCUACGGGAGGCAGCAGUGGGGAGUAUUGCACAAUGGGCGCAAGCCUGAUGCAGCGACGCCGCGUGAGGGAUGACGGCCUUCGGGUUGUAAACCUCUUUCAGCACCGACGAAGCGCAAGUGACGGUAGGUGCAGAAGAAGGACCGGCCAACUACGUGCCAGCAGCCGCGGUAA